rnacentral:rRNA from 1 species
UACGGAGGGUGCAAGCGUUGUCCGGAUUUAUUGGGUUUAAAGGGUGCGUAGGCGGCUUCAUAAGUCCGUGGUGAAAGCCAACAGCUCAACUGUUGAACUGCCAUGGAUACUGUGAGGCUUGAGUACAGACGAGGUAGGCGGAAUGGAUCGUGUAGCGGUGAAAUGCAUAGAUACGGUCCAGAACACCGAUUGCGUAGGCAGCUUACUAGGCUGUAACUGACGCUGAGGCACGAAAGCGUGGGGAGCGAACAGG